rnacentral:rRNA from 1 species
UCAGUUGCGAUCUACGUCGGCGUUCCGCGCCGCGGAUAACCGUAGUAAUUCGUAGGGCUAAUACGUGCGAAGCGCCGAGCCGCGAGGCGACGGCGUUCUCGCCGGAUGUAGGAACCGACCCGGGGACCGCCGGGGCAACCCGGCGCCCCCGAGACGGGGCGAACCACGGUGAAAUGACGGAUCGUCGGCCCCGCGCCGGCGACUCGCCGAAUGAGUUUCUGACCUAUCAACUCGAGACGGCGGGGUAGAGGCCCGCCGCGGUAACGACGGGUAACGGGGAAUCAGGGUUCGAUUCCGGAGAGGGAGCCCGAGAAACGGCUACCACUUCCAAGGAAGGCAGCAGGCGCGCAACUUACCCUAAUCUCGAUUCGAGGAGGUAGUGACAAGAAAUACCGAUGCGGGACCCUACGGGUGCCGC